ACACAUUAUAAAGACUUUGUGCGUAUGU
rnacentral:sRNA from 1 species